UACGUAGGGUGCGAGCGUUAAUCGGAAUUACUGGGCGUAAAGCGUGCGCAGGCGGUUUUGUAAGCCAGAUGUGAAAUCCCCGGGCUUAACCUGGGAAUGGCAUUUGGGACUGCAAGGCUUGAGUGCGGCAGAGGAGACUGGAAUUCCUGGUGUAGCAGUGAAAUGCGUAGAUAUCAGGAGGAACACCGGUGGCGAAGGCGGGUCUCUGGGCCGACACUGACACUGAGAGACGAAAGCUAGGGGAGCGAAUGGG
rnacentral:rRNA from 1 species